rnacentral:rRNA from 1 species
GCCCAGACUCCUACGGGAGGCAGCAGUGGGGAAUCUUCCGCAAUGGGCGAAAGCCUGACGGAGCAACGCCGCGUGAUCGAAUGAAGGCCUUCGGGUUGUAAAGAUCUGUUGACAGGGACGAAUAAGCAAUGCGAAUAGUUUUGUGUAUGACGGUACCUGUUUAGAAAGCUCCGGCUAACUACGUGCCAGCAGCCGCGGUAAUACGUAGGGAGCAAGCGUUGUCCGGAUUUACUGGGUGUAAAGGGAGCGCAGACGGCAGGGCAAGUCUGAUGUGAAAGUCCGGGGCUCAACCCCGGGACUGCAUUGGAAACUGUCCGGCUAGAGUGCAGGAGAGGUAAGUGGAAUUCCUAGUGUAGCGGUGAAAUGCGUAGAUAUUAGGAGGAACACCAGUGGCGAAGGCGGCUUACUGGACUGUAACUGACGUUGAGGCUCGAAAGCGUGGGGAGCAAACAGGAUUAGAUACCCCUGUAU